AACAAAGACAUUCCUUGUGAUACCCGGAGUGUAUACAUUGGCCCCACUGUUUCUUGUUCAGGAAACAAUAAUUACUGCAUGACGGACAUAGUACAUAGCCAUAGUAACGUGAGGGUCUUCAAAAGGUGUGUGAACGAGACUGUAUGCAGGAACCAGUGGUUGUCUCAGACGUCAGAUCAGGACCACUGUACCAACUAUGGUCACGUGCCAGUCAGUGGAGAUUACACGUGUCAUUUCUGCUGUACCUCUAACAAAUGUAAUCAGGGCUUACUGCCCGAUUCAUCUACUCUGUAUUCCAAAUCCUGAUCGGUUGUUUGUUACGGAAUUCAUUUUAGUUAACUCAAUAAAUUUUGUGUAAAUUCAUAA